CGGGCUGUAGCUCAGUGGUAGAGCACUUGCCUAGCAUGUAUAAGGCACUGGGUUCGAUUCUCAGCACCACAU
rfam:Ictidomys tridecemlineatus contig101725, whole genome shotgun sequence.